UAGCAUACAGUAUAUUCUAAUAAUUUGAUAAGGCUCCUACUUUAUUUGCCUUAUCUUUCUCUGUUGUAGGAUAUGGUCUUCAUCCAUUAAACUUGUAUCAGCAUAACUUAUAAUACUGUACAACUUUUUGAUAAACCCGAGAAUUUCUAGAAAUAACUGCAUAUACAGUCGUGGUCAAAAGUUUUAAGAAUGUCACAAAUAUUUUCAUAAAGUUCACUGCCUCAGUUUUUAUGAUGCCAAUUUGCAUCUACUCCAGAAUGUGAUCAGAUGAAUUGCAAUUAAUUGCCAAGUCCCUCUUUAACCUAACCCCAAAAAAAGUAAUUUCUUACUGCAUUUCAGCCCUGCCAUAAAGGGACCUGCUGACAUCAUUUCAGUGAUCCCCAUGCUAACACAGGGCAUCCGGAAAAAAGAUUCUCCAAAGAUGAAAAGGUGAAUGGUGCUACCAUCAGUCCCGUGUAAUGUCAACAGUAAAGCAUCCUGAGACCAUUCAUGUCAUGUGGGGUUUCUUCUCAACCAAGAGAGUGGGCUCACUUACAACUUUGCCUAAGAAUACAGCCAUGAAUAAAGAAUGGGACUAAAACAUCCUCCAAGAGCAACUUCUCCCAACCAUCCAAGAACUGUGUGGUGACAAACGAUGCCUUUUCCAUUGAUGGGAGCACCGUGCCAUAAGGUAAAAGUGACAGCUAAGUGGCUCAGGGUACAAAACAUUGAAAUUUUUGGUCUAUGG